UUUCUUUUUCUUUUGAUUUAUUUGGUUUUUGCUCUGUUUUUCUUUUUGGAGUGGUUCGGUGGCCUUGCCACCUGGAAAUCAUCCUCGUUCCCCCUCCCAAGUGGCUCAUCAUUCUCAAAACCUUGCCAAAGAUCAUGUCACUUCACUCCUUGACCAAACCCUAAAAUUCUUUUCUAGGGAAUAUUCCUUUUUCUAUUAAAGGAAUAACCCUAUCUGCCCUAGGUUGUGAAGCAACCUAUAUUUCUUUCCAUCCAAAAAUUCCCAAUUAAUUCUCAUAAUUCCUUUGGGUCAUAUGUUGAUCAAAUAUGCCCAAACUUUCCUGUCCUAGCCCAAGAAUAAUUCCCCAAUAAUUAUUCUUCAUUUCUGUUCUGAAUGGCACUUUGUGAAGUAAGUGUCAUUUAUAUUUUCCUAGUUGCUCCCAAACUCCCUGGGCAUUAUUUUAUGUCCAAAUAAUUGCCUCAUGCACAAGUUCAACUUUAUUUUCCUAGCCAAUCUUCCUCAGUGAUUUUUCAAAGUUUUUGUCAGACAGAAGGCUUUGUGAAGGAAGUACUAGAUAGGAGUAUCCAAAUGAGUUGAACUUUUGCACACUCCUUCAUGUGCUCAUAUUAACCCCCUCCACCAAUUUUCAGCCUCAUCCAAUCAUCUAUGUGAGCACAGGAGCAAAUCUUUGAUUCUGGCAAUAUUUCCAGGUUGUGAAGCAAGUGUAUUUUAUAUUGUUUCAAAAAGCCUGAUAAAUUACCAGAUCAUUCUUAUACCCAUAAAACAUCUCUCCACCCAAUUUGGCAUCAUUUAAAUGAUCCAUUUGAUCACCAAAAUUAUUCCAAGUUUCUGGACAGAAAUGAUGUUUGUGAAGCAACUACCAUUUGGCUUGUCCAUUUGGUAUGAGCUUUUUACAGCAUCUUUAUAUGUCCAUAUCAUGAGGAUUUGCCAAGUUGCAUCCCAUUCCAUAACACCAUGUGAGUCCAUCAUCCAAAUCUUGAUUUUGGACCAAUUUUGGGGUUACACAGCAACUAUAUUAGUUUGUGCUCCAUUGUCUCCAGGAUCAUAGUCCUUCCGUAACUAAUCACCCCAGACAACUCCAUUGACCACAAUCACUCCCCUGUUGAUCACUAGUGCACGGCCAAGUUUACCGCAGUAAACUUCAGACGACGACUACCAUUUAACCACUGCGUAUUUAACCAAGUUACCACAUCAGUUGCAACCUACCCAGGAAGGACUCCACCCCAGACAUAAUUUGGCUUAGCUUGUGGCACUAUGUGCACAUCGCACGCGGUGACCACCGUUUUGGCAUGCCAUGAGCGUGUCCAGAACGCCGUUUUGCUCGGUUCCCUCCUCUGCGCGUCGUCUUCGCGCUCAUGAGCAUGUCUAACAGUUUUACCGCGUCGUCGCCGUCCUCCUGGAGCCAUCUUGCCCGUCCGUAAGCCCUCCGUCAGCGCUCGUCGCCGCGCGCCCACGGGCGAGCUGUAGCUGACCGGCUCUGUUCGCGUCGCGGCCUCUUCCUCCUCUUGUCCCCGAGCUCUGCUCGUCCCUGUGCACAUCUGUAGCUCGUCCGCACCUCCCUCGUCGCCUUCUCGUGCCACCCCGUGCUCGCUGGCCGUCGCCAGAGCGUUGGCCGGAUCCCCGCGGCGACACCCGAGCCCGUGCCUCUCGCCCCGGCUAUAUAUAGCCCUUCCCCGAGUCAUUCGACCUCACCACUCGCCUCCCCUCACUCCUCUACCCCGCCCCAGCCUCUCAAACGAGCUCCAGAAGCCCUCUUCGCCUCUGUUGGCCGCCAUGGUCGCCGCCCCUGCCCUCCUAAAUCCGAGCAAGGCCGAGCCCCAUUCUCUUUUCCACCACCACCAGUAGCCUCCCCAAGUCCCCUGGAGCCGCCCCAACGCUUCUCCUCCUCCUCUGGUGGCUGUUGGCCGCGAACCCCGUCGGUGCCCGUCACCACCGUCCGCCAUGUCCUCGCUCCCUCUCGCCUAGGUUUUUCCCGGAGCCCGUGCUCUCCGCAGACGGGUGCGGCUACUCCUGCUGAGCUCGCCCAUAGGUCGAGCGAGGCGGGGGAUGGCCGGAGCCGGCCGGUCGAGCCCCCGCGCCGGCGACCUCCCUCUGCUCCGCGGGCGCGUCGGGAGAAGAAGGAGAGGCCAGGAGGAGGGCGUUGACAUCGCGUGGGUCCCGCAGGCCCCACACGUCAGCCUUUGGACGUUGACCCCGCCCCGCCAAGUCAGAUAAGUGGAGACGUAUUAACUAGAAUACGUUUUCUAUUUCUGAAAGCGUAUUUCCAUUCUUCUUCAGCCCCGAAUGCGUUUUGAGUUCAGUGAAAGCAUAUUUCGCUGAUUACGCUUUCUAUUUUUCUGUCCAGGCCCAGAUUGUGAAGUUUUUCUUUACAAAGAGGUCCCUGGCAGAAAAACUAUCACAACUUUUUACCCGUAGCUCCAAAUCAGGUGAAUCCAAAGCCCACUUCUUCAUUUCGUCGAGCCCGUUCUGAUGGAUCCAUUUUCACCAUGUUUUAAAAUUCUAAAAAUGAUCAUUUUGCCCCUGCCCUUAUUCAGCCCCUCCGAGAGAGUACGUUUUCCGGCGAUUCUUUCCGCGAGUUUCUCACACUUUCUCCCGGUGAUUUCUUCCACCCCAGGCAAGCCACACCCUCCAUUUGCAUCACUAUAAUGCAGUGACAUGGUUUAAUCUAGUCGAACUUGUUUAAAAUAUUGCUUUAGCUACAUGACUUUGUGCAUGGCAUUUUCUCAGAGUAUUAUUUUGAUCUUGCUGUGCCAUGCUAUUGUUUGGAUUACUAAGAGUUGUGCUUGCAGUUGAUGAGUAUCAUGCUGUCACUGGAGUAUUAGUGGCUGGUAUUAUGAUUUUUUCUUUUAUGAUGAUAUAUGUAUUAUAUUUUUGGAGUACUUUGGAUGUCAUGGUGCCUUUGGAUUAUUAGUUGUUAGUAUGAUUAUUUUCAUGAUGCUAGUUGAUGCUCUGUUACUGUUGCUUGGAGUAUUAUUUUCGGAGAUGAUGUUUACAUGUGGAUUUUAGCUGGAUAGCUUUAUCCUUGUUAUUGGAGUAGUAGGAUUAUUGUUUUCGGAUUCAUCAUGAUAGUAGUGUUGUGCUACCCUUGGAGUAUUUUGAGAUGAUGAUAUUAUGCUUUAGAUUAUUUGUUGGAUAUUGUAUGACUUGGAUUGCAGUUUGAUAGUUGAUAUCGGAGUAUCAGGGACCACAGUUAUAUUUUGGGGGGUAGAUUCCGUCAUUAAGUUGGUCUGGUGCCACCAAACCAGGCUUUCUCCAGUGCAACCACAUUUGCCUUUAUGGGAAGGCCCUAAUGCGAUGCUAUUGUCGUGCCUCUCACCGGGGCCUCCAAUGAGGGAAGGUUAUGGGCGCGCGCCACCCUGAUCAGGUAGGCGGACAUAAGCCUCGUGCGCCCGUAGUUGGAUUUUGCGCGCUUUUGUCCCCCUUUGGGACCGUUUUCGUUUACCACGACGGUGGCCGUUUUGCUACGAUGAUGGCCGUUGGUGCCUUUGGUAGGCACGGGGCCACCCAGGACUGAACCCAAAGGGGGUGUUGGUCGAAGUGGCCGGGAGAGUGUCAUGGCAGUAGAUCGGUUUUGUCGGAAUGCCGUUGGUCCACCCGAAUGGCAGUGUGAGGCCAUGGGUUCCGUGGUGUGGGUACAGUGCGCUACCUCUGCAGAGUGUGUGUUUAAGCUAUCGAUUGCCGCGUCCGUACUAUGUCAUACCGUUCGAUCAACACUCACGUGAAGGAAUGACUUAUAGCUGAUUCAUAUGAUAUAUGCGAGCAGUAACAGUUUGGCAGGAUGUUGAUGAUGAUGUUGAGAUGAUCUUGAGGAUGAUCAUUCAGUUUGUGAUGUGGUCACGAGGUGACCAUGUGGAUAUGUUGGUCACGAGGUGACCAUGUGGAUAUUUUGAUCACGAGGUGAUCAUGUGGACCACGAGGUGGUCGAGAUGGUACUUGCUUGGCCGGUUAGCCAAGAAUGAGAUUUGUUGUUGGUAUUGAGAUGUUGGUUUAUCAGUAUUGUAGUAGUUUCAUGUCAUGCUUAGUAGUUGUUGUUGUAUCAUGGUAUUUGUUAAUUUAAUUAACCUGCUUAAUGCUAUGUUGUUGUCUUGCCUUGAUGUUUUUGGUUGUUGUGAGCUUGCAAGUACAUUCAAUGUACUGACCUGGCGUGUCAUGCCAGAUUGCAGGUGAUGCCGUGGUUGCUUGAUUGCUUGUCGUGUUUCCGUUCGUGCGAGCUAGAUCGUGUCCCAGCCAGAGUCCCUGCGGAGUGGAGUUCACCACCUUCGCCGUUGUUCCACUACUAGAAGAUUUCCGCUGCUACGGGUUGUUCUGCUGCUAGCAUAGAGCAAGUGUAGUAUCGCAGGCGUAGUGUCGCCGUGCUGAUGUGAACCUUUGUAACAUCAGAACAUUGUAUUUAUCCUUUGUAAUAAGAGCUGAUUUGUUCUAUCUCAAGCAGUGCCGUAUUCCAGAAGACUUCAUCUCGAUCUCUGGGCUGGAAUACGGGGCGUUCCGGUUUCUCUGAGCCGGGGUGCCACAGGCUUGGUAUUAGAGCAGGUCUGGCUAUAGGACGCCCUAGUCAGCUGGAGCGAUAGAAACCGGUAGAAAUUGGUAGUUUAAAGUCCGGCUUGUUUAUUGCAUUUGGUUGCUGCAUUUGUUUGUUGCCUAGCAUGCAUAUAGCCUUAUUAUUUGUUGCUAACGGUUUAUCUGGUGAGCGUAGCUGGCUUCGGUUUGGAUCCACUACAGCUCAGCCCUUGCAUUUCUCCAGUUUUCGUUUCUUGCUCGUUCUUCGGCGUUUGCUAUCAUUUCUGUCCCAGCAGAGUGAUGCCAAGUGAUCCCGACACUGUUUGCAAAAAUGGUGCUCAGGUAUCGCGCCGAUGUCUUUCUUUCAACCCCACCUAUCGUUUCGGUGAUGGACAUGCUUUUAUCCCGAAUCGCUCUUUCAUUUGGUCGUGUUGGCAACCCUUAAUGAUCUUAGUUAUCAAGAAAGGGCAAUGUCAGCAGCCUCAGUUUUUCCCUGCUAUCCUAUUUCUUGGACGAGUACGACUCUUUUCCGUCCACUUGAUAAUAAUUUGGUUGCGACCCUCGUGUCCCACUACAUGAUUGCCGAGUGCAUCCUCGCCUCCGAGCUAGUCCAGGUUGCUACCUGGCUAAGCUAGCACUUGGUGUAGCGCUGUUUACACCAAUUCUUCCACACAUUUAUUCGUCCUCGUGCACAUCGUCACAGCAUGCUAGAUCGUAGUACCGGAGAUUCCGUGAAAUUUGUGUGCUUAAGUAGGCAUGCAUAUUGUGUGACUAGCAGUAAUAUGUGACAUUGAUUGUGUGUGAAUUGAUUGAUUGUUGUGUGCUCUUGUUUAGUUGAGUUUUCUUUUGCUUUUUCUUUUUGAGCCCCGGUGUUACAUUAUUUUUCCCCUAUAAAGAGUUGCUCAUCAACUGACACCGGACUCGAAGUAGUAAUAAGGAUUUCAAAUAUUUGGAAGAAGCUCAGCUAAACAUUCUGGUCUACCCAGUCAACUGCAUUAUAGCAUUACUAUCUGCUCAGAACACCAAUGGUGUAUUGGAUUGACUAUCAGCAUCGAGUCAACAUCAGUGCCAAAUCCUCAUCGCAGUUAUGAUCCAGCCAGCAGAAAGACAAGUCAGUUAGAAGAUCAACGGUAUAUUUUCAGACAGAGGUAUGGAUCAUAUACAAAAUUUUGGCUCAGCAAUGCAUGAUGCUUGAAAUAUGUUAUCAUCCGAAAUAAAGUCAGAAUGUGAUAUGCUCAAGGAAGACAGUCAAACAAUUUUUCUCAUGCAAAUAAUCAGCCUCAGAAUAUUAUGGGCAUGUGUAUGGAUUUCAGUCUGCAUAUCAGUAUGAAGUUUUGGAUAUAAGAAACCCAGUAUUCUUCCACACACUGUCGGAAGAAAUUUAUGAUGUCAGGCUCCUCAAUUUUCCUCCGCAUGAUAUGUGAACAAUUUCCGGCCCACGAUACCCGGUCUUUCUCAGCAAGAUACCUCGGUAAAAGCUUCUGACAGACGGAAAUGGAUUUUUCUCAACAAGCAAACCCGAGGAGAAGCUUCUUAAGUACAGAACUCAGGCUUCUCCCGCACAAUAAUCAGACCCAGCUUCGUGUGUAAGCUAUAGAGCCUUCUUCUGCACGAUACCCAGACAAAAGAUUUGAGCAGAAGUUAACAAGUCUCCCUUAGCAAGCUACUCGGAUGGCUUCUCUCGUAAGCCAUCCAGUCCGUGUCAAUACCACAAUAUUGCACCAUCCUCAAAGAUUAUAUGAUGAGUUGCCAAUAUAUGGCAGCACCGCUCAAGAAUCAGACUCGCAACAUUUUUGUCGGAAGCACAAAUCAGCCAAACAUAUGCCUACCGCAAGGAUCGAUUGUUCGGUGGCAUAUGAUUCUUAUAUAUGGUGAGCAUGCAUCCCCAGUCAUAUCAGUCACUCAUACGAGAUGCACCAAGGAUCAAGCAGAUAUACCUAAGAAAGGUACGGAUCCAACAACCUCAUGAGUCAGGCAAAGGAAAAUAAGCAGAGAUACAUCUCAUGAAUUACAAGAAUUUUCAUAUCCCGCUGACCCGCUUGACAUGGUUAGUGUGGAAUAUCCAAGCCUGCUCUGUCCGACCCAAGAUUCCUUUGCAACCUCAGCAGUUUGACCUCAGCGGCGGUGUUAAAGCAUACCACAGUCUAUUACCACAGAUGGGUAUAUCGACCACAUGAGAAAAAUCAAAGGCCAAACAAUCAGCUCAGACCUGGUAUACUCACCGACGGAAUCAAGUACACGGUCAGUCUGUCAGGAAAGAAUUUGCCCGUUAGCCCCUGUCGGGCCAGUCUCAAGAUGUAAAUAUUUGAGGUAUGACACAACUAUAACUCCAUACACCGUUAUAUUGCUCACGCCUGAAGGCAGUCAAAUCUCUGGUAUAUGCCACAUGCUCGAGCCAAAGGAAUAAAUCAAAAUAAAUCAGUACCACCUAUGAGUAGUCCGAUCCCGUCAGGAGAAUGGCCAUGAUCCUCAGCAUUUAUUGAAACCAGAAGGCCUGCAUUUAUUUAAAGCAACCCCAUGACAGAAGUAAAAAGGUUUUCCUGACCAAAAGAAAAUGUAUGCUCAGAUCCAUGGGAUAUCACCACAGGUAUGGAGAAUCAACGUCAGUAAAAAGGAACUGGUAUAUGAGCAAAGACCUGUCAGAAUUUGGGAAAGGUGAAGCAAACCACCCCAGAGCAAGGUAAGUUGAUCAUCUGAAAUUCUCGGAGGAACAAUAAAUAAAGGAAAUGCAUACCCGAGUUGGAAAUGGUGUUCUCAAGUCAUACUUGUUCCCUGAGCAACCAAAUCUCGAGGACGAGAUUUCUUUAAGGGGGAAGGUUUGUAACAGCCUGGUUUUUGGCCCUUUUCUUUUUCUUUUGAUUUAUUUGGUUUUUGCUCUAUUUUUCUUUUUGGAGUGGUUCCGUGGCCUUGCCACCUGGAAAUCAUCCUCAUUCCCCCUCCCAAGUGGCUCAUCAUUCUCAAAACCUUGCCAAAGAUCAUGUCACUUCACUCCUUGACCAAACCCUAAAAUUCUUUUCUAGGGAAUAUUCCUUUUUCUAUUAAAGGAAUAACCCUAUCUGCCCUAGGUUGUGAAGCAACCUAUAUUUCUUUCCAUUCAAAAAUUCCCAAUUAAUUCUCAUAAUUCCUUUGGGUCAUAUGUUGAUCAAAUAUGCCCAAACUUUCCUGUCCUAGCCCAAGAAUAAUUCCCCAAUAAUUAUUCUUCAUUUCUGUUCUGAAUGGCACUUUGUGAAGUAAGUGUCAUUUAUAUUUUCCUAGUUGCUCCCAAACUCCCUGGGCAUUAUUUUAUGUCCAAAUAAUUGCUUCAUGCACAAGUUCAACUUUAUUUGCCUAGCCAAUCUUCCUCAGUGAUUUUUCAAAGUUUCUGUCAGACAGAAGGCUUUGUGAAGGAAGUACUAGAUAGGAGUAUCCAAAUGAGUUGAACUUUUGCACACUCCUUCAUGUGCUCAUAUUAACCCCCUCCACCAAUUUUCAGCCUCAUCCAAUCAUCUAAGUGAGCACAGGAGCAAAUCUUUGAUUCUGGCAAUAUUUCCAGGUUGUGAAGCAAGUGUAUUUUAUAUUGUUUCAAAAAGCCUGAUAAAUUACCAGAUCAUUCUUAUACCCAUAAAACAUCUCUCCACCCAAUUUGGCAUCAUUUAAAUGAUCCAUUUGAUCACCAAAAUUAUUCCAAGUUUCUGGACAGAAAUGAUGUUUGUGAAGCAACUACCAUUUGGCUUGUCCAUUUGGUAUGAGCUUUUUACAGCAUCUUUAUAUGUCCAUAUCAUGAGGAUUUGCCAAGUUGCAUCCCAUUCCAUAACACCAUG
rnacentral:lncRNA from 1 species